rnacentral:rRNA from 1 species
UGGGGAAUAUUGGACAAUGGGCGCAAGCCUGAUCCAGCCACGCCGCGUGAGUGAUGAAGGCCUUCGGGUCGUAAAGCUCUGUGGGGAGGGACGAACCGCCGGUGGUUAAUACCCAUCGGCAUGACGGUACCUCCUUAGCAAGCACCGGCUAACUUCGUGCCAGCAGCCGCGGUAAUACGAAGGGUGCAAACGUUGCUCGGAAUCAUUGGGCGUAAAGCGCACGUAGGCGGCUUUGCAAGUCUGACGUGAAAUCCCUCAGCUCAACUGAGGAAGUGCAUCGGAAACUGCAAGGCUUGAGUACUGAAGAGGAUCGCGGAAUUCCCGGUGUAGAGGUGAAAUUCGUAGAUAUCGGGAGGAACACCAGUGGCGAAGGCGGCGAUCUGGGCAGAUACUGACGCUGAGGUGCGAAAGCGUGGGGAGCAAACAGGAUUAGAUACCCCCGUAGUCC